AGAGGAAGUAAAAGUCGUAACAAGGUUUCAGUAGGUGA
rnacentral:rRNA from 1 species